rnacentral:rRNA from 1 species
GAUGAACGCUGGCGGCGUGCCUAAUACAUGCAAGUCGAGCGAACAGAUGAGGAGCUUGCUCCUCUGACGUUAGCGGCGGACGGGUGAGUAACACGUGGAUAACCUACCUAUAAGACUGGGAUAACUUCGGGAAACCGGAGCUAAUACCGGAUAAUAUAUUGAACCGCAUGGUUCAAUAGUGAAAGACGGUUUUGCUGCCACUUAUAGAUGGAUCCGCGCCGCAUUAGCUAGUUGGUAAGGUAACGGCUUACCAAGGCAACGAUGCGUAGCCGACCUGAGAGGGUGAUCGGCCACACUGGAACUGAGACACGGUCCAGACUCCUACGGGAGGCAGCAGUAGGGAAUCUUCCGCAAAGGGCGAAAGCCUGACGGAGCAACGCCGCGUGAGUGAUGAAGGUCUUCGGAUCGUAAAACUCUGUUAUUAGGGAAGAACAAAUGUGUAAGUAACUAUGCACGUCUUGACGGUACCUAAUCAGAAAGCCACGGCUAACUACGUG